CCGAGUUGUCCUCUGUGGCACUCCCUUAUACCCCUUGUGAACCUACCGUCGUUGCCUCGGUGUGGCCGCCUCACAGCGCCCGCCGGCGGCCCUAUAAACUCUGUAUACUUUGAAAACUUGAUUCUGAACCUAUAACAAAUAUUGUUA
rnacentral:misc_RNA from 1 species